rnacentral:lncRNA from 1 species
AUUGACUGAAAAGGUAGAGGCUGAAGUGAGCUUGAUUAAAUGUGAAAACAUCUGGAAGUAACAGACACAGAAUUAAUACCCAAACCACUGCAUUUAGCAAAUUAAAAGAAAAAAUUUAAAAUAAAAUAGUACAAUGGCCAAUUAUUAUUUGACAGCAUUAUCAAUACAAAUCUUCUUAAUAGUAGUAACUCCCAUUUAUUAAAUACUUAUCCAACACUGUGGUAAGUGUUGUUUUGAAUCCUCUACACAAUCUGAAAUGCCAGUUCAUAACUUCCUUUUAACAGAUACCCUCAAAUUUCAAAAAAAAAAAAAAUGUGGGUCUAAGGACUGAGGGAAUUGGAAUGAAAGACAAGGGCUGAUAAUGAGAAUGGAAAAAGUUAAAUAUGUGGCAUUUCUUAGUACUGGUAGUGAUUUCAUCUUGAUUUCCUUUUUAUAUAUGAAAGAUAAUAAAUGUAUCAAUUUACUGAUAAUGCUAAAGUUUCAAGAGGAGAAGUAAUUUUCAGUAAAAAAAGUGAAGAUGUGAGAU